GAAUAUUGGUCAAUGGACGCAAGUCUGAACCAGCCAUGCCGCGUGGAGGAUGAAGGUCCUCUGGAUUGUAAACUUCUUUUAUCUGGGAAGAAACCCAACUUUUCUAAGGUGGUUGACGGUACCAGAUGAAUAAGCACCGGCUAACUCCGUGCCAGCAGCCGCGGUAAUACGGAGGGUGCAAGCGUUAUCCGGAUUCACUGGGUUUAAAGGGUGCGUAGGUGGGCUGGUAAGUCCGUGGUGAAAUCCCCGAGCUUAACUUGGGAACUGCCGUGGAUACUAUCAGUCUUGAAUAUUGUGGAGGUAAGCGGAAUAUGUCAUGUAGCGGUGAAAUGCUUAGAUAUGACAUAGAACACCAAUAGCGAAGGCAGCUUACUACACGAUCAUUGACACUGAGGCACGAAAGCGUGGGGAGCAAACAGG
rnacentral:rRNA from 1 species